rnacentral:lncRNA from 1 species
GUCUCUCUGAAAAGGUGCCUGUGUCAUGAGGAGCUUCUGGAACUAUCACUGCCUAAGCGUUACCCAGGCUUCCAUAAGAAACCCUAUAAACUAGUUGGUUUUUUGUGAUGUGGGUUGGGGUUGUUUCCUGGUCUCUCUGUCCUAUCUAGGUGGAAAGGCAUGUCUCUUGGAAAAGUCAUGUGGCAUCUUCUUUAAGGAAUCCAUCCAAUAGAUACUUAGAGAGUGCUUACUAAGCACAGAGUAGGGAGUGGGGCUUGAGCCACUUAGCCCAGCUGGGAGACAGGCAACAGAGAAGAUGAUCCAUUGACACUUGGCGACUGUUAGGAGGCCACUUCCAUGGCUGAACUGCUACCAUGAAGGUGCAGCCCGACAGCUCACACUGCCUAAGACGUGCUUUUAUAUGGUAGUGCUGGUCAAAAAACCCAGAGAUCUCCCUGUUACCUGGAUGGAUUCCAUUCAAAGGAAGCUUCCUUUGCAAGAAUUGUGAGACCCACAGGCAAUGCCUUUUAAGUAGAAAUAAA